rnacentral:rRNA from 1 species
AUACGGAGGGCGCAAGCGUUAAUCGGAAUCACUGGGCGUAAAGCGCACGUAGGUGGUUCGGUAAGUUGGAUGUGAAAUCCCCGGGCUCAACCUGGGAAUGGCAUCCAAGACUGCCAAGCUAGAGUCUGGUAGAGGGUGGUGGAAUUCCAGGUGUAGCGGUGAAAUGCGUAGAUAUCUGGAGGAACAUCAGUGGCGAAGGCGGCCACCUGGACCGAGACUGACACUGAGGUGCGAAAGCGUGGGUAGC